AUGAACGCUGGCGGCGUGCCUAAUACAUGCAAGUCGCGCGAACAGACGAGGAGCUUGCUCCUCUGACGUUAGCGGCGGACGGGUGAGUAACACGUGGAUAACCUACCUAUAAGACUGGGAUAACUUCGGGAAACCGGAGCUAAUACCGGAUAAUAUAUUGAACCGCAUGGUUCAAUAGUGAAAGACGGUUUUGCUGUCACUUAUAGAUGGAUCCGCGCCGCAUUAGCUAGUUGGUAAGGUAACGGCUUACCAAGGCAACGAUGCGUAGCCGACCUGAGAGGGUGAUCGGCCACACUGGAACUGAGACACGGUCCAGACUCCUACGGGAGGCAGAAGUAGGGAAUCUUCCGCAAUGGGCGAAAGCUUGACGGAGCAACGCCGCGUGAGUGAUGAAGGUCUUCGGAUCGUAAAACUCUGUUAUUGGGGAAGAACAAAUGUGUAAGUAACUAUGCACGUCUUGACGGUACCUAAUAAGAAAGCCACGGCUAACUACGUG
rnacentral:rRNA from 1 species